CGGGGUGUCUGAAUGUGCGGAU
rnacentral:siRNA from 1 species